GAAGUUCGCCAGGCAACCGCUGAGCAUGCAAGUGCUUGGAGGAAAGUCCGGGCCCCGCAGAGCGGAAUGCCGGCUAACGGCCGGGCGCUAUAAGUCGCAAGACGCAAGUCGACGACGAAGGCGACAGACAGUGCAACAGAAAGAUACCGCCUAAGCUCGACUUUGACGCCGCAAGGCGGCAAAGUCCACCUCCUGAAGAGGAGGGGAGAGAGCCGGUAAGGGUGAAAUGGUGGAGUAAGAGCCCACCGCGGACGUGGUAACACGGACGGCAUGGCAAACCUCAUUCGGGGCAAGGCCAAAUAGGGGAGCAUUGGCGUGGCUCGCGUCGCUCCCGGGUAGGCUGCUAGAGGCCGUCGGUAACGGCGGUCCCAGAGGAAUGGUUGCCCACGACAGAACCCGGCUUAUCGGCGGACUUCCCAC
rnacentral:RNase_P_RNA from 1 species